CCUACGGGUGGCAGCAGUGAGGAAUAUUGGUCAAUGGGCGUAAGCCUGAACCAGCCAAGUCGCGUGAGGGAUGAAGGUUCUAUGGAUCGUAAACCUCUUUUAUAAGGGAAUAAAGUGUGGGACGUGUCCUGUUUUGUAUGUACCUUAUGAAUAAGGAUCGGCUAACUCCGUGCCAGCAGCCGCGGUAAUACGGAGGAUCCGAGCGUUAUCCGGAUUUAUUGGGUUUAAAGGGUGCGUAGGCGGCCUUUUAAGUCAGCGGUGAAAGUCUUGGGCUCAACCAUAGAAUUGCCGUUGAAACUGGGAGGCUUGAGAAUGUUUGAGGCAGGCGGAAGGCGUGGUGUAGCAGUGAAAUGCUUAGAUAUCACGCAGAACCCCGAUUGCGAAGGCAGCCUGCCAAGCCAUGACUGACGCUGAUGCACGAAAGCGUGGGGAUCAAACAGGAUUAGAUACCCCUGUAGUC
rnacentral:rRNA from 1 species